rnacentral:rRNA from 1 species
AUACGGAGGGUGCAAGCGUUGUCCGGAUUUACUGGGUUUAAAGGGUCCGUAGGCGGGUCUUUAAGUCAGUGGUGAAAUCCUACGGCUCAACCGUAGAACUGCCAUUGAUACUGAAGAUCUUGAGUAUAGUUGAGGUAGGCGGAAUUUAUGAUGUAGCGGUGAAAUGCAUAGAUAUCAUAAAGAACACCAAUUGCGAAGGCAGCUUACUAAACUAUUACUGACGCUCAGGGACGAAAGCGUGGGGAGCGAACAGGAUUAGAAACCCUAGUAGUCC